rnacentral:sRNA from 1 species
AGCUGCUGCUGUGGCUCGGGCGGCGGCGGCGCGGCGGCGGCAGAGGGGGCUCCGGGGUCGGACCAUCCGCUCUCCCUGCGCUCUCCGCACCGCGGCUUAAAUGAUGUAUUUUGUGAUCGCAGCGAUGAAAGCUCAAAUUGAAAUUAUUCCAUGCAAGAUCUGUGGAGACAAAUCAUCAGGAAUCCAUUAUGGUGUCAUUACAUGUGAAGGCUGCAAGGUAAGCCUUUUUAAUUGUCGUUGUUUCUAUUAAUGUUAGAAUGUAUCUUCGUGAUUUUUAUGUCUCCACUUAUGUCUUAAAAUUCAACUCCUUAGAAUUUUGAAUGAUAAGAAAUGACAGGAUAGAAGAAAUAUUUUGGUGUUAAAUUACAAUUAAGGAAGUUAUAUAUAUUUUUACUCCUUCCUUCAAAAUAAUAGGAGACUACAAAAAGGUAUUUGAGCAUUGCUUGUUUAUCACUUUCAACCCCAGAGUUGAACUCAUGAGCAAUCUCUGUGGCAAUCUUUUUUUAAAAAGAGCUAACUCGAGACUUCUACAAUGUCCCUGUCAUAAGCUUAUAAAAAGGUAUCUCCAGUAAGUUUAAUUGGAAUGUCAUUGAGCCUUAUUGUUAGCACACAUAUGUUAACACAUCUGGCAAAAUUGUGGGAAAGCUAUCAGGAAGACCUGAGUUCCAGUCCUACUGCCUCCACUCGUCCAUAUUGUUUUGAAUGUGUCUUAAUCUCUUUGUCACUCAGUUGCUUCAUUUUUAAAGUGGGUGUAACACCUGAUCUUCCUACUGUUUAGGACUAUUCCAAGAAUAGAAGGAGGAUCUGUACAUAAAAAAGUCCUUACAAACAGAAAAGUGCUAUUUAACUCUAAAUAUUAUCAGUGUUAUUUCUGCUAUGACUAUUUCUGACCUUGAUCAUGGGGCAAUGUGUACAGCACAUGCAUAACGUGCAGAUGGGAAAUAGAGAUGUUUAUCCCAAUAAUUCAAGACCCCCCCCAAGCCCAGAUUACCUCUAUUAUUCAAAUCUCAAUUUAUUAAGAUUUAAAUCCUCAUGCUUAUAUUGGAAGGGCCUCGAGACAGCUUACAGGAUAAAACAGUGCAAAAUAAACAGGAGAGAAGCUAUUUAAACAUGCAGGAGGCCUUUGAGACAGCCGAUUGCUACAACCAGGCCUGAAUCAGCCCUAAGGCUUUUUGAGGCUGAGGCAAAAAAUAAAAUCCAUGAAUUUGGUUAGCUUUCCUUUCGUGAAAUUAGAAAAUACAGUGUUGUAAAAUACAAAAUCACCUAUAGACACAAAUGACUACUGAGAGACUUCAAGGAAAUUAACCUCAUAAUUUCCUUAAUUCUUCAUUUUACUGUUAGUCAAGGUAACAUUUGCUAAUUAUACAUGUACAGAUGCUUCAUGUUGAUCCCAUCUUAGCAAAGCUUCAGAUUUCCGCACACUACAGAACCGUCUAUGCCCUUUACCUCCAAAAUCUGCCCUCCCUCAAAAUUAGUUGACUAAUUAAAUAAAUUAAGCAAAAUGAGAGGCCGGGUAUAGUGGUGUGUACCUGUAGUCUCAGCUACUCAGGGAAGACAGAUGCAGGUUUAUCACUUGAGUCCAGGAGUUCAAGGUUACAGUGAGCUAUGAUCAUACCACUGGACUCCAGCCUGGGCAAUGGAGUGAGACCCUCUCUCCAAAAAAGUAAAUAAAAAUAAUGAAAAACAAAACAAAAUGAAAUAAUCUGUCUGGUCUGUGCCAUCCCAGGUUAUAAGGUGAGAGUGAUCUGCCUGUGGCCACUGUCAUCGCAUUGAUUUUUGGAGCUGGUUUGGCUGACGUGGCCAGGUAGCCAUUGCCUUUCACCCUCACCCUGUCGUGUGUUCUGCCUCCCAAAUCUGUGUCCCUGGUAGACAUGCAAUGGCCUUUCUCAAUAGAGGGUUUAUAGACUGCAGUGCUUGCCUGCUGGGAGUUCCAGUGCUUUUUGUGCAUUGCGUAUCACCUGGGUGUCUUCUUAAAUGGACAGGGUUCUAGGCAGCAUCCCGGAUACCAGUUCACCAUUUGUCCCUUCAUUCUGCCCAAAAAACUGAUGGCUUCCUCUGAAUCUGUCAGUAAGGCAAGUGAUUAUCUAGGAAUUGACAGAAGUGAUUAUCUAGGAAUGGAGUCUGGGGAAAGGACACGGUGGGGGUAGGGGCUAAUUCAUAUGAAAUACCCCAACAAUUUGGAAGAUUAAUUAACAACAUGCUAUUGAGUAAAACCUAAGUUGACUGAGUACCACAGAACAAACAAUGUGAAUUUUCUUUUUACUCUUAAUAUUUAUCACAAAAAUAAAAGCAAUAAGAAAACAAAAGGUAUCUAUUAUUCCAAAGUUGUCAUUUUUCUAGAUUCCCUUCCAGAUCUUGUCUGCAUACCUCCUCAGUGCCAAAGUGGUUUUCAGUUAUCUGUGGCUCUGUUCCUCUGCUCUGUUGACUUUAUCCAAGGAAAACCACAAAAUAAAUAAAACAUAAUUUUAUUAACAGAUUGGGCCUAUGCCUAGCCAGGGAUUUGAACAAUGUUAUAUGUUUAUAUUUGAUACAUAUACUCUUUGUUUUCCAUUAUAAUUUCUCUCUGCUAUAACUAACACUUUUAUUCCUAGUUAUAAAAAUAGAAGUCAAAAGACUUCUAUUUUUGCCAUUUUAUGUUAAUUAUUUAUCGUGUUCUAACCAGGUAAAGGUGGUUCUAUCAUGAUCAAUUGUAAAUAACUUUGCUGUGAUAGUGUAAUUAAACAUAAGGAAAAUUUCACAUUAGACAUAUCAAAUAGAUAUCUAAUGAGAGAAAAAAGGUGAUCGGUCAUCUUCUGAGCUAAUCAUUUUGUGAAUGUAUUUUAUAUUGCAUUUUUAAAUUAGCAAGCUGACACCAUAAGAAACUAGAGGACCUGUUUAAUUGCUGAAAUAAUUAUUUUGGCACAUAGUUGCUAAGCAUUGCACAUGAACAGCAAAAAUGGUAGAAACUUUAGUAGCUCUGUCAUUUUUGGCUGUUCCUAGCUCAUCCUCUCCCCAACCCCUUUGCUGUAGAGAGACAGCAGGUGCCAUGCUUCUGCUCUGACUCUGGAACCAGACUGCCCGAGUUGAAAUCCCAGCUCUGCUAUUUACCAGCUUGAGCACCUAUACCACUGCUCUGUGCCUCAGUUCCCCCCCUCUGUAAAAUGAGGACUGUAAUUGUAAUAACUUCAUAGGGUUGUCACAUGCAUUUAAGGAAAGUACCUGGAAGAAUGCCAGAUGCAUCACAAGCAUUUACUAAGUGUUAGCUGUUGUUAUCAUUGUCAUUACUAGGCAGACUUCUUGGUGGCUUGGUAAUGCUGCUCUGUAUAGUCAGAUAUUAUUUCUGGGACAUCUAUGGAUAUAGUCUUGAUUGUUGUGACCAUUUUAUAAUGUGUUAUGUAGAAUCUGCCAAUAAAAAAGAAUACUAUGAGCACUCCCUUGGGACCAAGCACUAUGUAAGCACUGUAAGGGAUCCAAAGACAUAGAAGACCACAUCUUUCCCUCAAGCAGUUUAUGGUCUAGUUGUAGAGAUGAGGCCUGUGUAAGGAAAGCUAAAUAGCAAGCAAGAACUAAUAUAGAGUAAGGCCACAAUCUAUGAUAUACGUAAGAAGCACAUAUAGGCUGGGCACAGUGGCUCACACCUGUAGUCCCAGCAGUUUGGGAGGCUGAGGUGAGAGGAAGAUGUGAGCACAAGAGUUCAAGACCAGCCUGAGCAACACAGCAAGACUCCAUCUCUACAAAAAAAUUAAAAAUAAAAAAAACUGGCCAGGCAUGGUGGUGUUUGCCUGAAGUCCCAACUACUCAGAAGGCUGAAGCAGGAGGAUUGCUUGAGCCCAGGAGUUCAAGGCUCCUGGUGAGCUAUGAUGGCGCCAAUGCAUUCCAGCCUGGCAACAGAGCAAGACCCCUGUCUC